UCAACCAUAGUAGUGGUGUCAUCUCUAGGAGAGCAUUAAGGAUGUGUUUGGAUGCACAAAUGAAUUGAAUUGCAAAAAUUCACCUAAGAGGAAAUGACAAAGUUAUGGAACACCUUGGUAGACAGGGUGCAUUUCAACUUUGAGGUCUUAGAUUCCAACCCAACUUGCCCAUGAAAAAGAAGAAAAAAGAAAAAAGAA